GAGGGAAAGUUGCAAAGAACUUUGAAGAGAGAGUUCAAGAGUACGUGAAACUGCUCAGAGGCAAACGGGUGGGCCCUCGAAAUCCUUUUGCGGAGGGAUUCAGUCGGGAGCGCGGGAAGCGGACGGACGCCGGACCCUCGUGUAGGGCUUGCGCGACCGACCCGUGGUUUCUCGCGUGCCCGACGCACUUCCCCCCGCACCGAGGACGCCGCGACCGAUCGGGAGCCGGCCUUAGGGCGGUCCCAGGAGGUGACCGGGGAUCGACGCAUUCGUGCCCGGUCCUCGGUUUUUAACGGAGCCGUGCUUGGCGCGGCACCCGAUCGAGGUCAAAGUUCCCCCUACGGGGAACAGCCGUCUCCUGCCGACUCCGGCAGCGGAGCAUCGGGCCAGUGUGCACCGUCUCGGUCGAACCACUACUAGCGAGUGGCCGGCCGGACGGGAUGCCGUCGUUGGGCUCGAGCGACCGCGGAGGGAAGCAAGAGUGGUCGGCGGCGAGUAGGUCGGUCACCCACCCGACCCGUCUUGAAACACGGACCAAGGAGUCUAACAUGUGCGCGAGUCGCAGGGUCUUGCCCAGGCCCUCGGGCGCAAUGAAAGUGAAGGUUCCCUCGCGGAACCGAGUCGGGACUCCCGUCUUCGGGCGGGAAGCACCGACGACCCGUCCCCUCCGAUCCGUCGGUUGGGCGGAGUUCGAGCGUACACGUUGGGACCCGAAAGAUGGUGAACUAUGCCUGGGCAGAACGAAGCCGAGGAAACUCUGGUGGAGGUUCGUAGCGGUUCUGACGUGCAAAUCGAUCGUC
rnacentral:rRNA from 1 species